rnacentral:lncRNA from 1 species
GGCGGCUCCCGGCCGCCUCGGGCUUGGCGUGCCUCGCGGAAAAAGGGGGAAGGGAAGCGGGACGGGCCCGCAGCUGCCGUGGUAGAGAGGCUCGCAGGCUUGCAGGACCAUGCAGCCUGCUCCCCAAAUUGCACAAAACAGCCGUCGUGAGAAGUAGGAAGUUUCCCCGCCUCGGGUCGCAGCUUCUCUCGGAGCCUCGUGAAACA